AAUGACAGUAAAGAAGCGAAGCUAAGCGGCGCUGGUGAAGCGGCUCAUCAGGUCUAUCAGGAAACCUGAGAAUUGGAGUGAGAAUCCCAGUGUGGAAAAUCAGGAAAGAGGCUGGUAUGAGCGACAGAGAAGUCAUUCAGGAAAGAGGUUAUUGAAUUCAUUGGAGAAUGAAUGCUGUUCUGAAUUUGUAUCUUAAGGGAAAUACUACAAAAUGUCGCAGAAGGUGCUGGAUGGAUAUCUAAAGUUCAAAAAGGAAGAGAACCACACGAGCUGGAGAUUCAGGAAGCAUCAGUAGAAGUCAAUGGCCAUUAAUAAAAACAUUUUUUAUUAAAAUAUUGAAUCUGAAUAGAAACCUCCUGUACUUCAUUUCUUAAAUCCCUUGAGGGUAGUAACUGCAUCUUCUCCAUUGAUAUAGCCCCUGCCAAGCACAGUGCCUGAAGGCAGGUCCACAGACAUUGGCUGAAUAAACGAGUGCUCUGUU
rnacentral:lncRNA from 1 species